ACUGUGUGCUUUUACUUUUGUUAUUCUGCAUGUGUUGUUCAGUCAGAUGGAACAACGUUUGCUUGCUAACACUUCACGAUAACUAUUUCACUUCUUUGUUUUACUUAGAACAAAUUAUUGCAAUGUAACACACACUUCAGCGUUAAUGUACAUGUGAAUAUAAGUCAUGCAUUGAUUCUCAGGUGGUAUACGAUGGAUAAAAGCACCUGUCAAAUUAACACUAACAGUAAAUCAAAUAUUACAGAUUUCAUCAUGAUUGGGAGAUUCCUGCUCAUUUCAGCAGCUGAAAACUGGUGUUUGUAUCUGUUGCGUCAUUCAGUGUCGGAUUGAAAGCAGGAGGCUGUUAAAGCUGAAGUGAAUCACUCACUCACACACACUCACACACACACACUCACACACUCAGAGUUGAGAUGAGAUGGGGGUCGAGCUCUCCUCAUGCCGUGGCUGAUAAUAAUUGAUUGAUGACGGGUCGUUUGCUGAUGACAGGUUAGUUGCGAAGCCUUUAGUCCUGCUGGUUCAGCCCUCACAUGUGUGAAAUAGCCAAUUACAUCUCUGGAGCUUCACAGUGAGACCGAUGAACAUAAGAGACAAUUACACUUACGUGUGUGUGUGUGUGUGUGUGUGUGUGUGUGUGAAAGAGAUAAAGCUGGUUAUGGCAGCUGUGUUAGGUUAAAUUCAGCCUGAUAAACCUAAGUAUUUAUGUUUAAUAUGUAUUUUUUUAAAUGUGUUUUAAUAUGCUAAAAUGACCAAAAUAUACAAUUAACAUGU